UUUGCCCCAAAUCAGGAAACCCUAAUUCCAUUAAUGGCUGAAUUGGUCUCUGGAUUUUCUGAAUCGCAGUUUUUUCUCGUCUCCGGCCAAUUCGAUUUCGUCGAUCUCGUCAGAUUUUCUUCUCUUUGGCAGCGCUCUCCUCCUCCACCUUCUUCUUCUCAGAUUUUCAGUCGCCCUUGUAACUUGUUCUGACAGAGAAAGCGUGCUAGGGAUUCAGAAAGUACAGUAGGGACCCCCCCCAUACGACUCACAGUUAUGGGGAAACGUGAGCCUUUCAUCCCUUUAGAGUUUUCAAUUUGAUAAUUUUGUUCAUUAGGGUGUUCUUAAUUCUGCUAAUUCUGAUGUUUCAAUUCGUUAGUUUUAAUUGUAAUUUGCUUGUUUUAUUGCUUGAGAUCCCAAAUUUGCAUGCAAUUUAUUACUUUUUUGUUGGUUUCAAUUAUUGCAACAAGUUUUGUUUUUGCUGAUUUUAAUGUUUGUUUGAGCUCAUACUACAUGUGGGUUUUUAAUUGUCUCCUAAAAAAGGAGGAUAUAAGAAUUAUGGAAUUUUCGGUGUUGAGGUUAUUGUGGAUUUUGGCAUUUGCAGGUAGUUCUCAGCGUAAGAAUGCUGCGAUGAUGGAUAGUGAUGAUGAUAAUAGUAGCGUGAGUUCGACGUCGACUAUGCGCUCCGAUCAUAUUUCGGUGUCUGUCAAUGAAGAUAUGCAAGUGGAUAAGGAUAGUUUACUUGACCAAGCUGUAGAUGCGUUGUAUGAGAAGAGGUAUACUCUCCUUUUGAUAAUCAUAUUGUGUAAUGAUAGUAAUAAUACUCAGAAAAAAAGUGCAAAGAAGCUUGUUUUAUUGUUGCCCAUUUUGCUUACUAAAUGUUAUACAUUGUGUAUGUGAAGGGGUUCCACAAGAGAAAAAGCUUUGUCAGCAAUUAUUGACGCAUUUAAUAGCAACAUGCAACAUUAGUUUGUGGAAAAGAAGUAAGCAACUGCAUUUGAUUAUAUUCACUUAUGCUCUUAGGACCCAGAAUGCCUUAGUUCUUACCGAUUGUAUUUUGCAUUGAUUCUCAUAAACUUAUUUGGUGUUCAUCAGGUUUGCCACUUUAUUGCAUCAGUGUCUGAAUUGCAUCAACAAGGGUUCGUCCAAAGAGAUAUGUUUGGUGUCUCAUGUGAUCGGUUAGGUCUUAACUCCUUUUUUGGCCCAUUCGUUUACUUCUCCCCCAAGUAUCAAAAUCAGUUUUUAAUCUUUUCGUGUGUGCUUGUAGGACUAUUGGCUUUGACUGUUGGAUGUGGAGACAAUGCUCAUGAAAUACUGGAAGAAUCAGUACCUGUGAUUUCACAGGUUUUCAAAUCUGGAUCUGAAGUCUCAAAAGACAUCAGCGGUAGCUACGAUAUCAUACUUCUUUAGGCUUUAGCUUCAUAUGAUUUCUGGUUGUUGGACAUAUCAUGAUAUUGAACCAGAGCAAACAGGAAAGUCAAUGCAAAUUAUGUGGCAAGUAGUUCAUCCAAAACAAAGUUCCAAUGUAAGUGAGUGCUUGCCGUAUUUAUCUAUUUUUAUUUUGUGUGCCAGCUGAAGGUGCUGUUUCACUAUUUGACUGUUGUCCAUUCUAUAACUUUUUCAGGUAAUGGCAGUCAAACUCUCAGCAGCUGCAAUAACCACCGUGGUGUCUGCGUGGUCCUUUCUUUUGACAACUGUAGAUGGGUGGAAUCUUAAUUUUAAAGAUUGGCAAGAGUGAGUAAAAUAUUGUUAAUUGAUGCAUUUCAUUGCUUUGCUUUUCUUUCAUUUGAUAAGGAUUUGUCUGCUUCUUGAUGUGUGAUUCAAACCACAUCCUGUUUAUGUAUAUAGAUUUUGGCUGCGACCAAUUUGAUGCAAUAACCUUGUGGAAUAACUUACCCACAUCAUAUAUUGUACGGUCAGUUUUCAUUAGGUACUAUUUAUGUUUAAUUUUAAAUAAAAAAAUUCAAAUAAUUUUUUGUCGUACGAUAUAAGAUGAAUGAUUAGGGUGUGAGGGUCUUUAUGAUUCUCACACUUUGAAUCCUGAUGAAAUCCAAAUUUUUUUUUUUUUUUUUCAUUAGUGUGACAUUUGCAGGGCACAUGCUGCACGACAAUAAUUUGAAAAGACGAGACUGACCACUUAGUGAAUGGCAUUUCCUCCACCAAUUUUGGUUUUAUCUACUUUGUUCCUAAUUUCUAAAGCCGGCUAGACCAUCAUUAUUGAAUCUCUUUCGAGAAGGUGCUACUAUAAAAUGAAAAAAAUGUUUAUAACAUUUCUUGUGUUAUUCUUAACCCAUGGACCCUCCAAUUUAAUUUUAACCAUGGCGAUAGUAUAUAUGGUAUAUUGGUGGGUGGGUGUAAAGUUAUUAACUACUAUAGUUUAAUAGUAUUCGUUUUAUUUGUAAACGAAAUGUCUGGAGAUUCAAUUUUCGCAAUGGUGAGUUCUAUACCAAAUUAUUAAGACAAACUUAUUGUGUGGUUAAGCUCAAAUCUCCGUUCUUUUUCUUUUUAAUAUAUCAAUGAAUAAAAAAAAUUGAUGGGAAGACCUGGAGUGAUAAUUCCAUAAAGAAUAAUUGCAAACAAUCGUCGAUUGAAAAAAAGAGUAAACUGUCGAUUUGCCCCUUGAAUUAUCACCCAACUUUCAAUUUCCCCCCUGAACUUUUUAAUUGGAAAAUUAAGGACUUAAACUAAUUUUUUUGGCCAAUUUCCCCCUACAGUUAGUUUUUCAUAGAUUUCAUCCAAAUUAACGUUAACUCUUAUCAUGUGCAAACCACGUAACUCUCAUUUGUGGACAAAAGUGUCAUUUCACUAGACCUUUAGAUACAAAAGCUAUAUAAUCACACAUAUUUGCAUAGGUUUAUAUUUUAGAAAUCUAAGGUUUUCAAUUAUUUUAAAGAAUGAAGCGACCGAACUACCCACACAUGUUGUGCAUAUGCUUCCAUUUAACAAAAAUUUGGAUGGAAUGAAUGAAAAAUUGACAGCAGGGGGCAAAUCGGCCAAAAAAAUUAGUUUAAGUCCUUAAUUUUCCAAUUAAAAAGUUCAGGGGGGAAAUCGAAAGUUGGGUGAUAGUUCAGGGGGCAAAUCGGCAGUAUACUCUUGAAAAAAAUAUGGGGUUCCAAUUUCAAGGUGCACAUUCUCCGACCCUUUAAUGUAGAUAGUAUAUAUUAAAAAAAAACUUUAUGUUAUAGGAAUGACUUUAAACAAGUUAAGAGUAGUAUGCUCACCUUCAUAUUUAUCCAAAUUCGAAUCAUCCUUAAUUGAGACGAAAUGUAUUGAAAACAUUACAAAGAAAAUGUUCCUUUCCAAAAUUUGAGUCACGUUUUAAACCAUAUAAAUGACUUCAAAAUUUCUACUUUACAUGAAGGUAUUUUAAAAUAUACUACAUAAAGAAAUAGAUAUAAUAAAGUGACCAAACUUAUAUCUGCAAUUUUACCGAGAAAUAUCAUAAAAAUUAGAAUAAUACUAAGGAAUAAAUAAUAAUUCUUUCCCAAAAACACAAAAGCAUAAAUAAUAAUUCUUCCCCAAAAGAAGAGAAAAGUAACAAACAAAAAUACUAAUGGCCCCGACUUUAAUUACAUGCUGAGCUGUCAUCACCUCAUUGGCUCCCAAUUCCCCAUCAAAGCCACCCCACAUUGCCAAAAUCCGCUAAUCAAGUUUCACCAACGAAACACACGGCUUUAGAAUUUUUUUAAGGAAAAUAUUUACAUUUUAUUAGAUAGUGUUUUAAAUUAUUUUUAUAAAUCGUUUAAUUGUACAUACUUGUUCAACACACGCAAUCCUGCCUGUAUCUGUAUUUUGUUCAACUCCUAUUAAUUUUUUUUCUCCGUAAACUAUAUUCUAUUAAAAAAGUUAAAUAACUGUUUGGACCCAAAAUGUUAUUUUGGGCCGAGCUCAGAAAUAUCCUCGGCCCAAAGGUGUUCAUUUAGAAUCUUGUCAUGGGCUGGCCAUGUUAAGGUUGGCUGAAUCCUGCUACAAAGAGGAUUAUUUCGGAUAAAGGUGAAGUAGUCGAGACCUAGUAUGAUAAGGAGUCCUAGGGAUGCUGGGACUUGGGAAAUGAAUUUGGCUCAUUAAAAAGGUGGGUUCAAAGUCCUAAUUGAAUUAGGAUUGGCCGAGUCCUAGUUAGAUUAGGUUAAGGAGUCCUAAUCCAAGUGUGGUUCUAGCUUGGCCAUGAGAGAGUUUGUUGCUAUAAAUAGAAGGGAGUGCAUCAUUCAAAGUCUCCAAAUUCAACACACAAACUGCCCUGCACAAACUCUCGCUCUACGCGAAACCUCUCAACAACCUUGAGAUUUUUAUUUUCUUUUUCCCGCCGACACAUCUUCAGUUUGGAUAAACAACAUUGUGAAGGCAACCGGCGACAUCUUCAGGUUGGAUAAACAACACUGGAGCCGUAGAAUCAGCCGAUCAAAGAGCACAUUCAGUUUGGAUAAACAACACUGUUUCUCGACCGACUGAUUACCUAUCCAAGUCUGGGUCGGCAAGGAUUUUCGAGUCCUUGUUGGUAGAGGUCAUCUCAUCAGCAUUCUCGGCGAAGUGAGGUGUUACUAGGUUACUACAUUCGGCACAUUGAAAGCCGAAUCUGAUAUUGAACUUCGCAAAACUAGCAGCCUUGUCUUCAGGCUCUAGAACCUAAAGGCCAAGACGUGUUCCUUCCUCGGCCGCAGUCGCAAAAUCAAGAAGUCAGCAGCGCGCUCAAUGCAACAUCAACACAUUUUACUCAUUGGUCGAGCUCGACCGAUGAGUUGGCACGCCCCGCACAUAACCGAAAGACGUAGUUAGCUUAUUAAUUACUUGGCCUACGUGCCACAUAGGCUUGGUAGUUUUUAGGGUCAACAUGGCACGGCUAGUGGGACACAGUGCUAAAGCUACGAAGUUCAUACCAUUAAGACACGAUCAGUAAAAAAGAAAACAGGAAUGGGUAAAUCAGGGGCUAACCUUCCACCUAUUGUCCAAAACCCAUAUCAUGAUGGCUUGUCACAGGCACAAAAUCCUCCUGUUGUUGUCACACCCGAAGUAACAAGUGCGACACGCCGAGAAAAGGAAGUCAAUCUCGGUGGACAGGCUCGUGAUGUGGAGAUCACCACCAGAGCAACAAAAGGAAUUUUUGUCGAAGGAAUAUUAAAGGAUUGUGGCGAGGACGAUGGUGAAGCAUCUGAUCCACCAACUAGGUCUUUUUUUCGAAGACAACUUGAUGAGCAAUCUUGGCAGUUUGAGCAAACGUUUAGUCGAGAAAUAAAAGGGAUACUCGAAAAAGUACAUGGUUAUAGCGUCGUGCAUACUAAAUUGCUCAAGGUCCUGGUUAGCAAUACCCAGAAUAUUGGACACGCUGAUCGAUCUAGACAAUUUAUUCUAAAUAACAAUCCAAUACCAGCAUUACCAGCCGAGACGGGAUCUGCUCGGCUCAAAAUGAUUGAUUUGAAAAAAAAAGGUGGAUCAAGCAGCAAGGUGGACGAAUUCGAUCGAGGAGCGGAAACGGCAUCCGUCGAUAUGGUUGAGGUCCAAAGAAUGAUUGAUUCGACCUUGAAAAAGGGGCCGAAGUUCCCAAAAUUUAUCCAUCCAUGCUCAGCUUAUGUAGAAAAGUUUGAAUUGUCCUUGUCCUUGUUAGAACAUGUAGCUCGGUUUACUGCGCAAUGCGGAGAUGUUAAUAGUGACUUCCAUAAACUGCGGCUAUUCAACUUCUCGUUGACGGGCUCAACAUUCGCGUGGUACAUCAAUGGUACAUCAACCUCCCACCUAACUCCAUCCAAAGUUGGGAGGAACUAGUCAAAAAAUUCCAUGAGCAAUUCUAUCGGCCGGGAAUGGAAAUGUCAGUUUCUUCAUUGGCCAGGAUGGCUCAAGCAUCUGACGAGUCACUAAUGGAUUAUCUUACAAGGUUUAAAUCGGCCAGAAAUUGGUGCUGAGUACCUCUCUCUAAAGUCAAAUUUGUCAGGCUCGCUUUGAAUGUGCUAGACGUGGAAUACAAAAAGAAAUUCCUGGGGGAACAUUUUCGAGAUAUAUAUGAGCUGGCUCAACACGUCGAACAAUAUUAUUAUCUGCUCCGAGAAGAAAAGAUAUUGAAGUCCUCAUCUCGAUGGACGAUCUAUAAGAACCCUACAGUUAGUUAUGCAUCAAUCGAAGUUGAAGAACCCAAAUGUGUCAACAUAGAUGCGACCGAGAUAGUGAUUGAUAAACCUUAUGUAUGCAAGGCAUUGGCACACGCCAACUCCAAAGAUGUCAAAACUCGCUCGGCCAGUGUAAAAGCGGCCGUUAAAACAUCGAAGGUCUACACAUUCGACAUAACUAAGGUCGAUGCCAUCUUCGUCCAGUUACUAAUUGUGAAAAUUGUCAAGCUUCGGCCGGGACAUAAUUUUCCCAAGGCCGAUGACUUAAAAAGGAAAAUUUAUUGCAAAUAUCACAACUCGGACAAGCAUGCAACGAACAACUGCAUUGUGUUUUGAGACACCAUCCAAAGCUUGGUCGACAACGGCAAACUCAAGUUCCUAGAAAAGAAAAUGGGCAUAGACACCGACCCAUUUCCUACGGCGACAAUAAACAUGGUAGAUGCUCGUCUGCCUGGGGAUAAAGGAAAAAGAAAGGUCGAGUUUGUUACAAUGCAACACGUCCCAAAGCAGAACUCUAGACCACGACUCAUGAUUGAUUUAUUUUCAAACGAGUCGCCUAAAGAUUUUUUGGGACUAACUAUCGUCGAGCCCAUGUUAAACUCCAGCGUAGAGGAAACGGAUGGGCUGGUGGUUUUAUUUAGUCGGUAAAAGGCAAACGUCAUCUUCAUCGAGCCAAAGGAGAAACCACCUCAAGCUACAAUACAACGACCGCCUUAUAUGGCCGCAACGACACUUCAAAAAGUGCUCGGUGCAAGCCAACACCAGGGAGUUUUCUAUAGGCUCAGCCGUCAAACACGGAUCGAUGGAAAACCUUCAGCCAGACGACGUCUUGAUUUCGACACACCGUUUUAUAACGAGGACUAUUAUGCGCGCAACUCUAGCAGCUCAAGUUCAUCCGCAAGCCAGAAAAUCUUCAAACCGCCUGAGCCACUCGACCAACUGUGGUAUAGUUAUAACUCUCAUACCAGCGUGUAUACCGCACUCUCUAAAUCGCAGAAAAACUGGCGCCAAUGAAUAGACUGCAUGGCCAGCCGACAAGCGGCUCGGGCUACCUAUGCUACCAAAUGACAGCUAAAAUAAAUAACAGGUAAUGAAGAUGACAAACAACCCUUGUCAAUCAUGGCUGAAUUACUUCAGGGAAAAAAGGUGAUCAAUCUUGACUUUGAGACCACAAUAGAAGAAUCUGAGAAGCGCAUCAAACUUAUUCUUCGGCCUGGGGAGAUGAAAGCUCGUUUCGAACACUUUAAGAAGGAAGCGAAAAGCAAACUUCCUCUGUUGCCUUCACAAGAGCCAUUAAUAAAAGUCUAACGAAAUCUACACCCCUCAUUUCUCGGUAAAGCUUUGAAGUACAUGCGAGAGUUUCACAAGAAAUAUUCCACUAAUGACUUGUACGGCAUACUAAAGGCGUGUUAAGAGGCUCUUGACCUGGCACUAACUUGCCCUGAUGCCGAGCAGAUUAUUCAAAAGACCACUGAUCCAGGGAUGAAGGCCAGGUUCCAGCAUAUACGUGAAACUCGAGUUAUUGGUUUUGAGGUUGAUCUAUAUACUGAUAUAGAUACCACCGGGCUUCAUUUCUCCCUCAAUGACCUCCAAUAUCUACGAUACCAUUUUGAAGUCUUCUCAGCCGUGUCUUUUUUCGGCCUGACGACCAAUGAGAAAGAGCGCGCAGCAUGGUUAUAUGCUUACCUAUACACAAGGGAUGCCCGAAUCGCCUAUCAAGAGCUUGCCCGUAAGGCGUUGUAGGGAUAAGACAUGUCUCCAAUGUUGAGUGAGCUCAGAGAUAACAAUUAGAAUAAAAUAGGUCAUGUGGAUGUACCACAUGAACAAUUACUUUAAAAAAUGAUUAGGUUGAAGACACUAAAAAACAUGAUACUUUGCUCGAUAGUUUGGAAGACGACGACCAUAACCCGAAGGACCAUUCGAUUCUCGAAAAUAUAGAAAUUAGCAUGGUCCACGUUCUACCGGCUGAAUUUCAGCCAACCACGUCCUAACCGACUUUCUUGGAUGGUGAAGUGGUUGCCGAAGAAGCGACGCAAGUCGACUUCAUCGUCAUGGAGGAGGACGAGCAAGUAAGCAAAGAAGACAAACUCAAAAUAACUCUUGCUGAGCUGUUUCCCCGCUAUUCCUCGGCUAAUCUUCAUCAUUUGAAGCCGUUGUAUGUUACAGCUCACAUAGAAGGAUAUCCAGUUUCCAAAAUCUUCGUUGACUACAAAGCAAUAGUCAAUAUCAUGCCCAUCUCCAUCAUGAAAGCACUACGUCACUCUAACGACAAACUUAUUCCAUCAGGGGUCACCAUGAGUAACUUUGUCGGUGACAAAUCCUAGACCAAUGGGUUAUUUCCGUUAGAAGUAAAUAUUGCAGGUCGUAAUCACAUGACUGCGUUCUUCAUAAUCGACUCAAAAAUCGAAUAUAAAGCAUUGCUCGGUCGGGAUUGGAUCCAUCAAACAUGCUGUAUCCUUUCGUUAUUAUAUCAAGUCCUCAUCUUCUGGGACAGUAAAUCAGUCGUGGUUCAUCUGGCCAAUGAUCAGUCGUUCGAAGCUACGACAACCACGUCGACUACAUCACCUUACAAGGUUUCAACGAUGAAGGACGGCCGACUCAGAUUUCAGUUCAGAAAGCCAUCAAGGUUGGCGCCGAGACUGUUCACAAGGAUUCAGUGAGACUUGGGUUGGCUGACCUCAUUUCCAAUCCCGAUGUCUGACACCAAACAGGCCGAACGCCAGGCUGUAGUUUCAUCUACCAUGGAACGACUGCUGGCUCAUUGGUAUACUAUUUCCAAACAACCGAAUUCGGGCGUAAACCUCGUGGAGUUUCUCGUUGAAUGAGAUAAUGGUCCUGUCAUUUCCCUUGACAAAGUCCAAGUUACCCUGGUCGAGCUUGAAGACAGUCAGCCUCAAGUCAAAGACCCAUUAGAGGAAAUAAAUGUGGGAACGGCCAAUGACUACGGGCCGUUAUUUAUUAGUGCCUUGUUACCCCAACCCAUGAAAACCGAACUUAAAGAUUGUUUUUCUUGGAAUUACCAUGAGAUGUCUGGUAUAGAUCGAACCCUCGUCGAGCACGAAUUAUGCAUUAAAGUUGGUUGUAAGCCUUUUCGCCGACCCCUUUGGCGAUUCUCGACCGAAGUACAACUCGGCAUAAAAGAUGAACUAGUUCGACUUUUAAAAGCCGGGUUUAUUCAGACUGCUCGAUAUGUCGAAUGGAUGGAAAAUAUCGUACCAGUUCUAAAUAAAAGCGGUGCUUUACGCAUUUGCAUCAACUUUCGUAAUUUAAAUUUGGCAACCCCAAAAAAUGAAUAUCCGAUGCAUCAAGGACGGCCACGGCCAACCAUGAGAUGUUAUCCUUUAUGGACGGCCAUGCUGGCUAUAACCAGAUCUUUAUUAUCGAAACUGAUAUCCACAAAACCGUUGCCCGUGGGCACUUGGGACCUACGAGUGGGUAAUCAUGCCAUUCGACCUCAAAAAUGCUGGUGCCAAAUACCACUGUGCUAUGAAUACCAUUUUUCAUGACCUAAUUGGUACAAUUACAGAAAUGUACAUCGACGAUAUGAUAGUUAAAUAGAAGGUCGCCGAACACAUCUAGAUGAUCUUAGGAAAACUUUCAUUCGUAUGCGCCAACAUAAUCUCAAAAUGAACCCAGCUAAGUGCGCAUUCGGUGUAUCGACCAGCAAGAUAAAUUUUCUCCGCCGUUUUGUAGCUAAUUUCGGUUGGAAAAAUGAAAGUGUUAUCUACACUUUUGAAACUCAAGGAUUCAGACAAAUUUAAGCGGCAUGAAAAACAUCAAGCGGCCUUCACACAAAUCAAGGUUGGCCUUACAACCCCACCCAUCCUCGUACCGCCUCGGCCCGGUAAAUCUCUUAAACUAUACAUUUCAGCAGUCGAAGAGUCAAUCAGCUGCCUCUUUGCACAAGACAACGAUAUUGGGCGUUUUAUCUCAGUUGAAAUCUUAACUCACCCGAAAUCAAUUAUUCAGCCGUUGAAAAACUUUACCUGGCUUUGCUUUUUGUUGCAUCUAAACUCCAUCAUUACAUGCUCAUUUCCGUCACUCAGGUUAUCGCCAAAUCGACGUUAUUCGGUAUAUGCUUACUCGACCAAUGGUCAAAGGCCGAAUUGGGAAAUGAACAAUGGCAUUGUCUGAAUUCAGUUUGCAAUACGUGCUAUAGAAAACCGUCAAAGGACAAGCACUAGCCAACUUCUUAGCUCAACAUCAUUCUCCAAUGGUUUCGGGGGCAACAACGUCGAAAUUGGCAUGGUGGAAACACGUGAUAAUUAUUGGACGAUGUAUUUUGAUGGCUCUCGAACUUCAGCCUCGGUCGGUGUUGGAAUCGUCAUUCAAUCCCCAGAUCAACAUCGCUGGUAUGUUUCUCUCAAGCUUGAUUUCGAUUGUACAAAUAAUUAGGCCGAAUACGAAUCCCUUUUCAUUGGCCUUAGCGUCCUUCACGACCUGAGGGCAGCCCACAUACUCAUCUUCGGUGAUUCGAAACUUGUGAUUAACCAACUCAAUGGCACUUUUCGUUGCAUGAGUUUUACUCUAGUGCCUUAUCACAUGGUUGCCAGCUAUUUGGCCGAUUUGUUCGACGGUAUUACAUUCAAACACAUCUCCCGCAUUCGAAACACCGACGCAGACGAACUGGCUCAAAUAGCCUCCGGAGCAUAACUCCUGGGGGGCGAGCUAAGCCAGGCAAUACUUGUAAUACGACGAUCGCACCUGACCUUGGUUAAUCAACAAGAUCUCUAACACAAUCACGUGAUCCGUACACAAGUGAUGUCCUUACCUUCGUUGUUGGAACGAGGAGAUCCUGUAGACAUGUGUGCAGUCAAGAUAUUACCAGACGACUGAAGAAGGUCAAUCAUGCGAUAUCUCGAUAACCCCAGUGGCAAACACGAUUGGAGGACAAAGGUUCAUGCCACAAAUUACGUGUCAUACUAGAAUGAGUUGUAUCGGAAAGACGAUGAUGGUUUAUUGUUAUUGUGCCUCGACUUGCAGGAGGCUGCCCAAGCAAUUACAGAAGUACACGAAGGAAUUUACGGAGCUCACCAAUAUGGAUGUAAGAUGCAUUGGUUGUUUCGUCGACAUGGCUAUUUCUGGUAGAGUAUAUUGAAAGAUUGUAUCAAGUACGCAUGGGGAUGUGUACAGUGUCAAAUUCAUGGGCCUAUACAGAGAGUCUCAGCCAAAUUACUCCACUCGGUCACCAAACCAUGGCCAUUCAAAGGAUGGGCCAUGAAUGUAAUCGAUAAAAUUACACCGUCUUCUGGAGCAGCAAAACAUGCAUGGAUAUUUGUGGUAACCGACCAGAUUCGGUGUACCAAAAACAAUCAUAACUGAUAAUGGCAUAAUCUUUACAGCCGAUAGGUUCAAAUAAUAUACGGCGAACUUGAAAAUUCAACUCAAACAAUCCACGCCGUAUUACCCAUAAGAAAAUGGACAAGUCGAAGCAAGUAAUAAAGUUUUCAUUGGCAUUCUCGAAAAAAUGAUAAAAGAAAAGCCUGGCAUGUGGCAUUUGAAGUUGAACGAUGUUUUAUGGGCAUAUCGGACUUCACUCCGAUCAGCAACAGGGAUGCCCCUGUAUGCGUUAACUUAUGGGCACGACGCGAUGCUACCAGUUGAGUUAAGUAUAAAUUCAUUACAAGUAAUUGAACAAAGUAGUUUGUACAGUGCCAAAUACAAUCAGGCUAUGAGAUAAGAGUUAGAAGACUUGGAGGAAGUUCGGCUUGAUGCUUAUAAUUUAUUGGUGGCACAGAAAAAGAUUGCUGAGCAAGCCUAUAAUCAAUGAGUCAGACAAAAAACAUUUGGCGAUGAAGAGUUAAUUUGGUAAAUCGUGUUGCCCGUAGGAAUUAAAGACCCUAGAUUCGGGAAAUGGUCGCCGAAUUGGGAAGGAUCAUUCAUCGUACAGAAAGUUCUCGGCAAGGGGGCAUACCACCUCAAAGAUCGAACUGGUUUGAUUCAUAAACUACCAAUCAAUGGGAAAUUAAAAAAAAAAAAAAAUUAUCCAGUCACUUGGGAGAUGCGAGAAUAAAAAGUUCAUUUCAUUAAUUUUGCAAAAAGAGUGUACAUGUGGAACUGAUCGAUUAAUUUAUAAGGGGUCGAAGGAAAGAAAGCUUUGAGGGCGGCUUUCAACUCUAACCACCUCACUUCACCCAUUGUGAUUUCAGCUUGCUAAGUUCUCUUGUCUAUCUUCAGUUGCUCAAUCCACUUCGUGCCAGCCGCGUAUUCAGUCAAACGAGGUUUGCUUGACUCAAAAUCCUUUGCUAGAUCAGAGGCAAUGGCCGACCUCUGACGUUGGAGUUUGGCAAUUUGACGGUCGAGGUCGGCUAGUUGUUCUUUCUUCGCCUUUAUCGCCUUGACAUUUGGACGAAUAACUUCUUGAGCGACCAUUGCAGCCUUAUAGUCGUUUUAUACCCGAAGAACUCUGUCGAAGAUAUCAAAAUAUUCUCAGGUUCGUUCUAGGAUAGAAGACAUGCGAGUGACAAUUUUAUUACUCAUUAGGUCGUCGGCUGCAAGGUUGUUCAAACAUUCUCCUACUGAGUUGAGGCAUUUGCGUUCGAGGAUUUGAGAAGCUGAGAGAGAUAAGAGCUCAUGUAGCUUGACAAGGGCAUUUGACUCGGCCGUUGAUGCAGAAGGGUCGGUUGUAGUGGUAGAAGGACCAGCCGUCCCCAAAGAAAUGGAAAGAAGGGCGUCGAGCUCGACUUCCCAUGAAGGCUGCAUAUGAAAGGAUUUUAGAAAAAAAAGGAAAAUCUUAAAGAAGCUAGCAUAGAAGAUAUUUGUGUUAGACCUGCCGAGAUGAGACUUCAGCCAUGUCAUCUGGUUCGUUGCUCGAACCUAGAAAGCUUAAUGGCCGAGCCCAGUGUUUAAGACUGCCUUUUAAUUCACGCGGCCGAUGAAGGUUAUCUAUGUUCGACGGCCACUGAAGUGGCCAAGAAAUAUAGAUAACACCAUUCGACGCAUAGAAUUUUUGGUGAAACGAGUGAUUGGGCACCUGACAUUUAGUAUUUUCUUGGUUUAGAAUUCUAAACCAGGAAGUUAAUAAAAGGAUAAUGAAGAUUCUUACGAAGGCCGAAGUAACCUCAUGUGGAGGAAUGUUGAGAUUCUGAUCUUGGGAAUGAAUCGGCAUCUCUAUCUUCGCUUCUGUUUCAACAGGUACCGCUUCGUGCCCAGCAUUCGCUUCGACAGCAGAAAGGUUGGCUUGGCCAGUCACUGCGACCACCAGCUAAGGAUUAGUGGGUGGCAACUUGGCCGGUUAGGGGCACCUCACCAACAAAGGUUAUUCGCCCUCGUUCUCCUAGACAAAAAUUGCUUGUUCAUUAGUUGGAAGAUCUAAUUAGAAAGAGAAAAAAUUGCUAACAAAAAUGGUCAUACCUCUUAUUCCACGAUGAUUACUGAUUUCUUUUUUGGAUUUGGAUGAGGUAUUUUCUCGGCCAGAGUGGCCGCUUUCCUCACAACAGCAUUUAUUGGUCCGACAGAAUGAUACAGUCAGCCCCGGAGCUGCAGGACCCUCGACCAAUGGAGUGACGACUGGUUCGAUCAUGGCUGGAAUAGUAGGGUAAACCUUAGUCACCUGAUCCAUUGGAGGAUUUUGCAGUCCUCUCGCUGAGGCCUCGACGAUAGAAGGAGGGAGAGAAACGUUAGCAGCAGUUACACCUAUGGUUUGACUUGAGAUCACAAGAAUCUCUCGCUCACCCUUCUUUGCCUUCUUUUUGAUGCGCUUUUGGGGCGGGGCAACAUUACCAGUCGCUCUUAUCUCUAGGUAAAGCCGUUUUCUAGGUGUGACUGACACAGUAGUGGCCGCCACUAGAGUGGGAGAAGUUGCGGGAGCUUGAACAGUUGCAGCUUUCUUUGAAGUGAGAAACAUAAAUAAAUAAAGGACGUCUACCUUGGGCCGCUUCUUUGGAUUUUGGGGUGAGAGCUUUCUUUGGACGAUCGUCGAAAAUAUUUUUGACAAUAUCCUUGACUGGUGUGCUAAAGAAUUAUUGGAUGUAUGUGUCCCACCAAUCAGCAAAUGUGGUAGUACUGUGAGUUUCAGAGACGUUCGACCGAAGAUGGAGUUUCGUGCACCUCUCUUGAAAUUCUCGCUCAGCUUCUUUACACUCUCUUUCGGACAAACCAGAGAUACGUUCUUGAGUUAGAAAAGAGUGUGAAGUGGGUAGAGGCACAUGGCAGCCUUGGAGGUAGCCAAGUUGCCUAGCGGUAAAAUGGGGGUGGUAGACUUCCCAACUCGCGCUCUGAGCAUCACAACCGAGAGAAAGGUCGCGAGCUAACACGAACGCCCCCAUUUUUGUCUAAGAUUGGCGUAUUCGGUCUCAUCCCAUGCCGAUGAUGGAAUCUUGAUGGAAGAUGGGUACUCCUGACGACGACAAAUCAGGAAUUCAUUGUCAGAAAGAUCUUCUAGGCCGAAGAAGUACUUGAAGACUUCUUCGGCCAAGUGAGGAUGAGCUGGUCUAGAGGCCAAUUGGAGACCUAGCGCUUCAGAGGACUUGAAGCUAGGGAUUUAUGGCCUCAGGGUGGUGAAGUAAACUUGCAGCCAAAACUGGAAAACCCAGAGUGGGCCGUUCUGGUACGGGUCAAUUUUGGUGACGGUCGAUUCGGCUAGGCAACGCGUGAGGUUGGCGAUGAUGGCCAAACUAAGAGCUAGGGUGUGACCACUGGCCAGAGCUUCGGCCACUGGCAUGUUUUCGAUCAAAUAUUUAUUUGACUUGGUACAAACAAUAAAUUUGUUGUACCAGUAGAAUAGGAAGGCUUCAUGUUCCCCUUUCUGUAGGUUUUCCUCCCCUCGACCAGCAAAUUGGUGGAUGAGAGUAUUAUAGUUGAAGAAGUUCUUGUGCAGCUUCUAGACUUUUUUUUUUUUGGCUUCUUGGUAUUUCUUUUUUAGGGUUUCGACGACAUGUUCGUCAAAUAAUGACUUAACGUCUAAGUUGAAUUGAUACCUAAGAAAUAUGGUAUCAACUGGAAAACCAGAUGGAGAAGUGCUAAGGAUGGCCGAUAUGUCGAGCACGGUCGGGCCAAUGGGGCCGAGGGGGAGUACCAUUGUGUUGGUGGCCGGGCACCAAAAACUCAAGGCUUCUGUGAGAAGCUCCCGGUCUAUGGCAAUCUCAAUAGUCGAGAGCUUGAUAGCAUCAUAAAUGCCAAGAGUUUUCCACUCUGUGUUGAAGAACUUUUCCAUUCGUUAGACCCAAGUUGCCCAAGAUGCAGGGAUCGAAGGCCAGGCUCCUUGAGGCCUGGUCAAAUCCCACUUCGACCAAUUUUACCCUUGGAGCAAGGGUUUCAAGCAGUGGGCCUUGAUCAUUUCGAUAAUGGCCUUUGGGACGUCGUCCUUGAAAAGUGGUCCCAAGAUCAGGUGGGAAGCAUUUGAAUAGUCUUCAAACCGUUGGGUCUUGAUAGCAUUUCGGUCGAUGAAGUCCUUGCACUUGGUGCACUCCUCAGAAAGCUUGGUAAUAAAGAUGUUAGAAGCCAUUGUUGAAGACUCGAGGGAUUUUCUGGGUUUGGGAGUUUUCUGGGUUUUGAGAUUUUCUAGGUCAUGAGAGAAAAUGGCAAGAGAUUCAAGAGUUCUAAAAACAUAAACUAUGAAUGAAGAAGAGUCAGGUAUUUAUAGGCAUUUUGGGAGGAAGAUCAACCGUUUGGUUUUUAAAUAGGGGGUAGAAUCGAUCGGGGAAUUUGAUAAUCAUGAGGGAUAUUCAGAAAAUCCAGGUGAAUGGACCAAAGAUUUCGUGGUUUGAGGAUGCAUGUUUGCGUGUGACAGCGGAUUUACUAGCGAAUAGACGUUUCGAGGGUCGCACGUUUCGAGGGUCAUUAUUAAAUGCAGACGAGUAAGCUGAGGAAUUGCCAAGUGGUAGAGCAUCUGACAAAGUUAAGAUCGUGCAAUCAUGCUUCAUAAAUGCACUAGAGUGGAUGGAAUAUUCGAGACUUUUCGUUGUCUUUCAAAUAUAUACUAAGGGUUUGAUUUCACUUCUUCAAGAUUGAGGCUCGACAGGAUAUUUAGGCUGAAGACCUCAGAAGCGAGGGGGCAAUGUUUGGACCCAAAAUGUUAUUUUGGGCCGAGCUCAGAAAUAUCCUCGGCCUAAAGGUGUUUAUUUAGAAUCUUGUCAUGGGCCAACCCUAUAAAGGUUGGCCGAAUCUUGCUACAGAUGAUUAUUUCGGACAAAGGUAAAGUCGUUGAGACCUAUUAUGAUAAGGAGUCCUAGGGAUGCUAGAACUCGGGAAAUGAAUUUGGCUCAUUAAAAAGGUGGGUUCAAAGUCCCAAUUGAAUUAAUAUUGGCCGAGUCCUAGUUAGAUUAGGUUAAGGAGUCCUAAUUCGAGUGUGGUUCUAGCUCGGCCAUGAGAGAGUUUGUUGCUAUAAAUAGAGAAUGGUGUGCAUCAUUCAAAGCCUAUCCAAUUCAACACAUAACUGCCCUGUGCAAACUCUCGCUCUACGCGAAACCUCUCAACAACCUUGAGAUUUUUAUUUUCUUUUUCCCGCUGACACAUCUUCAGUUUGGAUAAACAGCACUGUGAAGGCAACCGGCAACAUCUUCAGUUUGGAUAAACAUCACUGGAGCCGUAGAAUCAACCGAUCAAGGAGCAUCUUCAGUUUGGAUAAAUAACAUUGAUUCUCGGCCAAUUGAUUACCUAUCCAAGUCUCAGUCGACAAGGAUUUUCGAGUCCUUGUUGGUAGAGGUCAUCUCAUCAGCCUUCUUGACGAAGUGAGGUGUUACCAGGUUACUACAUUCGGCACAUUGAAAGCUGAAUCUGAUAUUGAACUUCAUAAAACUAGCAGCAUUGUCUUCAGGCUCUAGAACCCGAAGGCCGAGACGUGUUCCUUCCUCGGUCGCAGUCGCAAGAUCAAGAAGUCAGCAGCGCGCUCAAUGCAACAUCAACACAUUUUACUCACCGGCAAAGCUCGGCCUACGAGUUAGCACGUCCCGCACAUAACCGAAUGAUGUAGUUAACUUAUUAAUUACUCGGUCUGUGUGCCACGUAGGCUUGGUAGUUUUUAGGGUCAACAAUAUAACAUACUAAGAAUAUUUGCAAAGAAGACGUUAAAUUCAAAACAUCAAAUUUCAGUUUGACAUAUGACUUAGCAAUUUGACAUAUUGUUAAUAUUUUCCUUCCACCUAAUAUGCCAAAAUGUAUUUCUUCAUUUAUAUUUUUUAAAUAAAAAUAAUAAAAGUUGGGCUGUUAUUUGUUUAAAAAUAAUAAAAUAAUACUUAAAUAUUCUAGCAUUUAAGAUAAGGCAAGUUAAGUAUCUUUGGAAAUAUCAAAAACCUCAUUUGACAUGGCAUCAAUUUUGACAUCUUCUUGUUCAUGUUAGUUUAGUAUUCUCUUUGCAAGGCUUAUAGAUGAAUGUUGGAAGAUAGUGGGAGGGGGAAUUGUCAAACAAAUGACGGUGUUUGGACUCGUGUGUCCAAAAAAUACUUAGAGUUCUAUGAAGGCACCACUCUAGUAAAUAUUCGAAACCACGAGAGUUGUUCUUCAAGAUGGAAGAAACAUCUUCAGCCAAGUUUGAACAAAUGGCAUCAAGUAUUGUUAGCAGCCGCCCGCAAGUAGACAUGAAAGCGGCGCUGAUUACUACGAUGAAGUAAGUGCUUUCACAAUUUAUUUUAAAUAUUUAAUUAUAUUACAUUUAAUUUCAUAAAUUAAUUUCCUUUAAUUUUUUUCUCGGUACGCCAAACGAAGGAAUUAUAUAUGGAGAGUAGCUUGAAACCCUUCCAAAUACACAGUUGUUGGGAAAUUUGUAAAGGGUGGGUGUUAUUUGAAGAUCCACCACAUAGAGCUUCUACGCCGAUGUUCGGAAUAGCAUCCUUAGCUGCAUAUAUGGAUCAAGAUGGAUCUCCAACCAUUCAACAAACAAAGGUAGAAAAUCCGUCUUUGGAUGAAGGUUACAUACCUAGGGCUAUGGGACGAAACAAGGCGCGAAGGUUGAAGGAAAAGGGCAAGGCAAAUGAUGAUUAUGCCGCUCAACAAGAAGUGGCGGCCUCAUUGCGAUUAAUGGCAGAGCAAAAUGCCCUUGAGGCGGAAGAAAGGAAAAGUAGGCAUGAAGAACCGGGUCAAACAAGUACAAGAAGAGAUAAAUGAUAAGAAUAUGGAAAGGAACACUUCGAAUUACACUUCAAUGAGUAAGGCCUAUUUUGAUAGGAAAAAAAAUGAAAUUAUGACCCGGCGGCAGUUGUUUACCUCUGACUAUACUCCUACAAUGGCGGAUGAUGAAGGUGAUGUUGAUUAUGGAUAUUAAAUUUACGUUGUUGUAGUUUUAAAUUCAGGUUAAUGUUGUUUUUAAAUUUAAUUUGUAGUUUUUAAAUUUAAUUUGUAGUUUUUAAAUUUAAUUCGUCGUUUUUAAAUUUAAGUUGUAGUUUUUAAAUAUAAGUUGUAGUUUUUAAAUUUAAGUUGUUGGAUUUGAAUUUAAGUUGUUGUAGUUUUUAAAUUUAAAUAAUAAAUUAUGUUUGGCCCUUUGGCCCUUGGUUGGAAACGGAGGCAAAUAUGGUUUUGUACUGUUCAUUAAAAUAUUAAUAUCUUGGAGGCCAGAUGGUUAAAACGAGUCAUCUAGCCAGCCCUCGGUUGGAGAUGGCCUAAGGCAAGUUAAGUAUCUUUGGAAAUAGCAAAAACCUCAUUUGACAUGGCGUCAAUUUUGACAUCUUCUUGUUCAUGUUAGUUUAGUAUUCUUUUUCAUAUCAGCUUUGACAUUUCGAUUUUGAAGAUGGUCCAAUGAUAUAAAAAUUAAAUAAUCUACUAAAGAUAUCAAUUUGAUGAUUAUUUAAUUUACACAAUAAAAAUAUGGAGUUUUAACGAAAAGCCCGCAAUACUGUUCAUUUUAACGGAAAAACCACAUUUUUACACUAAAUAGUCAAACCUGGUACUAUUUACUUUACCCUUUAUUUUGUCGUUAUAGUUAAAACUCAAAAUUUUCAAGUACUUUUCAUUAAUUUUCCUAUAAAAAUAUGUUAUAUAUUAAAUUUUUGGAAUUUCCGAAUUUGACCGCUCUCUCUAUUUCCUAAACGCGGCAACUCUGACACCAAGCGGCAAAGACAUUUUAAUUUAAUAUUUUUACCUACUGUUAGGAGUAAUGAAGGUUCACAAUCUUAUCAAAGGUGUAAAGCACCAGAUUAGUACCUCCUUAGUCUAGAUGUUAGUUAAGAAAGUGUCGAGUCACAGUAUCUCAGCUCAUGAAAAUGCAGUUACGCAAAUCUCUCUCUACGUUUUCCUCUCUCUCUCUCUCUAAAACUCUAAUUCCUUACUCACAAAGAUUCUACUUUCUACAUGGGAUCAUCGCCGGAGUCCACUGACGUUGAUCUCCCGCUUCUGCGUUCUUGAUUUUCUUGCACUUUCUCUCUUGCCAAACAGGUCUUGUCCUACUUUUCUCUUCAAUUCUCUGUGAGAUUCCGCUAUGGCUGCAGCGAGAACUUUUAUGUGAAGGCGAAGAACUCGUCUCUGUGUAUAAGGCUAGGGUUUCUGGUUUGCUGUGAAGCUGAGAAGCUGAGAUGGAGAGCUAUUUGAACGAGAACUUUUAUGUGAAGGCGAAGAACUCGUCGGAGGAGGCGUUUCAGAUAUGGAGGAAGCCGUGUGGACUUGUCAAGAAUCGGAAACGGAGGUUCAGAUUCACUGCUAACCUCCCCAAGCGUUUUGAAGCUGAGGCCAUUCGACGAACCAAUCAGGUAUAAAUCGGUUACUCUUUUGGUUUCUCUCUCUUUUUUUGUUCUGUUUGGCUCCUGAGAAAAUUUUUGGAAUUAUUUAGUUCUUUUUGUUGAUAAGUUGAGUGUGACCCCAAUGCUACAGUUAAUCUGGAUUUCUAAUUGAUUAAUGUUCGUUUUCUGCUUGCUUAUAGAUUUACAUUUCAGCUGGAUUUCUAAUUGAUUAGUGUUCGUUAAUCUGGAUUUCUAAUUUAUUAGUGUUCGUUUUCUAACAAAAUCAAAGCGUUGUAUAUAGAAAGUUGGGAAGAUCAUCUCUCAAUUGAAAUUCGAUGAUGGGCUAGCUAAGAAGGGAAAAAGUAGACUCGCUGUUGUUCGUAAUUUGGGGUUGUGUGUUUCUGGUGCAUCCUGAAUUAUCAGUGCUGUUCCCAGAUCCAUAUCAGCUUGAAAUAGCCAUUUUGUUCUGUCCAAGUACAUAUUGUACUAGAUUUGGGGGAUGCGCGUGAACGUAGGGACUCGUGAAUGAUUAUCAUUUCAGAACCAUGCACCGUAAAAAUUUUAAGCAAACUCAUAGCUUUAAAUGACCUUAUGCUACAUAAACGAGGAUAAGUUCAAUUCUGCAGUGAACCAUAGUUGCUGUUUGAUAGACUAUGAAAUUAAGGUAUACCGUCUACCAUAAAAAGAAAUUGAGCAGGUAUAUUUAUACUUAAUAGGGGUAGUAACUCGUAAAAAAUAUAUUCAUGUGCAUACUUCAUGUAGAAAAUAUAUCUUUUGCUGUCUUAUAAAAGAAAACCUUAUUUCUUAGUGUGUUGUCCUUCGUUCUUCGGUUGAAAUAACAGGGUAAGUUUAGAGUUGCAGUUUUGGAUUCACAAGCUGCGCUUCAGUUUAUCCAAGGUUAGAAUCUUAACCUACUCAGCUCUAAAGUUGUUUGUACAGACGAUAUUUAUUAUAUUUUCAAACAAUGGUUCUACUUGUUUUAUCUGUUUAUUUGGUUUUCAAUCUUCAAUGUGUGCAGGCUUAAGUUUGCCCAGUGAUUAUACCGUACCUGAGGAAGUCAAAGCUGCGGGCUUUCAAAUUUGUGCUGAUGAGGUGGGAUCGAUUGUUGAUAGCUUUGAUUUGAAAAAGCUGAAAAGUCACGGUGGUGUGGAGACUAUCACAGACAAGCUUGGAACAUCAAGUAUCAAUGGAAUUUUUACUUCUGAGAAAUUGCUUAAUAAGAGAAAAGAAAUAUAUGGGGUUAAUAAAUUUAUUGAAAAACCGUCCCGUGGAUUUCUUGUUUAUGUGUGGGAAGCCCUUCAGGACACUACCCUCAUGAUACUUGCAUUGUGUGCCUUUGUAUCUCUGCUGGUUGGGAUAAUGACAGAAGGUUGGCCAAAGGGUGCCCACGAUGGACUUGGAAUUGUUGCUAGCAUUUUGCUUGUUGUAUUUGUCACUGCAACUAGUGAUUAUAAACAAUCCCUGCAGUUCAAGGAUUUGGAGAAGGAGAAGAAAAAAAUUACAGUUAAGGUUACUAGAGAUGGAUUCAGACAGAAGUUGUCCAUUUACAAUCUACUUCCUGGCGACAUUGUUCAUCUUUCUAUUGGAGAUCUGGUCCCAGCUGAUGGACUUUUUGUUUCGGGGUUUCCUGUGCUGAUAAAUGAAUCCAGUUUAACAGGAGAGAGUGAACCAGUUAAGGUCAACUCUACAAAUCCUUUUCUCCUCUGUGGAACUAAAGUUCAGGAUGGAUCAUGCAAGAUGCUUGUAACUACUGUUGGAAUGAGAACCCAGUGGGGUAAACUGAUGGCUACUCUUAGUGAAGGGGGAGAUGAUGAAACCCCCUUGCAGGUCAAACUAAAUGGUGUGGCAACCAUCAUUGGGAAAAUAGGCCUGUUUUUUGCUGUUGUGACAUUUUCUGUAUUGGUUCAAGGAUUGUUCAGCCGCAAGCUUCAACAAGGAUCCCACUUGAUCUGGUCUGGAGAUGAAGCAUUGGAAAUCUUGGAAUAUUUUGCUAUAGCUGUUACAAUUGUUGUUGUUGCUGUUCCAGAGGGUUUGCCUUUGGCUGUGACAUUGAGUCUUGCUUUUGCCAUGAAGAAGAUGAUGAACGAUAAGGCACUAGUCAGGCAUCUGGCUGCUUGUGAGACAAUGGGAUCAGCCACAACUAUCUGCAGUGACAAGACUGGGACACUAACGACGAGCCACAUGACUGUUGUGAAAGCUUGCAUUUGUGGUAAAAUCAGAGAUGUGGGAACCUCCGAGGAAGCUACUAACUUUGCUUCUAUAGUUCCUGAAUCUGGUUGGAGGCUUACGCUGCAAUCUUUUUUGAGCAUCUUCUGUGGUAAAAUCAGAGAUGUGGGAACCUCCGAGGAAUUUCCUGAAUCUGGUUUGAGGCUUCUGCUGCAAUCUAUUUUUAACAACACUGGAGGAGAAGUUGUUAAAAACAAAGAUGGCAAGACUGAGUUACUUGGAACACCCACUGAGACUGCUAUUUUGGAAUUUGGGAUGUUGCUAGGCGGUGAUUGCAAGGCAGAAAGGGAGGCAACAAAAGUUGUUAAAGUUGAGCCUUUCAAUUCUCAUGAAAAGCGAAUGGGUGUUGUUGUAGAGCUUCCUAAAGGUGGCUUCCGGGUGCACACUAAAGGUGCUUCUGAGAUAAUAUUAGCUGCAUGCGACAAAAUCAUGUGUCCAGAUGGCAAGGUUGUUCCCCUCGAUAAAGCAUCCAUUAAUUUUUUUGAAUGGCAUCAUUGAACGUUUUGCUAGUGAAGCCCUUAGAACUCUCUGCCUUGCAUACAUGGAGGUCGGCAAAUUCUCAGCUGAAAAGUCCUAUUCCCACCUCAGGGGUACACAUUUAUAGGCAUUGUGGGUAUCAAAGAUCCAGUUCGUCCUGGUGUCAAGGAGUCUGUUGCAAUUUGUAGGUCUGCUGGUAUUACAGUCAGAAUGAUUACUGGAGACAACAUAAACACUGCAAAAGCAAUUGCAAGAGAGUGUGGAAUUUUGACCGAUGGAGGUUUGGCAAUUGAAGGCCCAGUGUUUCGUGAGAAGAGUGAGGAGGAAUUACAAAGAAUUAUUCCAAACCUUCAGGUACAGUUUCUUAUUUUUCUGAAAAGACACUUGUCAGAAACAUGUUAUCAAAAUUUCACAAUCCCGCCAGUGAGCUGUCUCAGAAACAUUUAAUUAAAUGUAUUUUACUUAACAAAUCCCUAGACUAGUAAACUGUUAAACCUAUUGAAAUUCCUUAUUCCCCCUUUACCAUUAUUGCACAGCUAAUUAUGGUAGACAUACUAACAGUGACAAUAGCUCUAACCAUAUCAACGAUAAAUACAUUAUUUCUUCACUUACGGGUGACAUGCACCUUUAACCAUAAAUAAAAAGGUCGUACCCAGUGCACAAGGCUCCCGCUUUACGCAGGGUCUGGGAGAGGUGAAUGUCGGCUAGCCUUACCCCCAUUUAUGGAGAGGCUGCUCCCAAGUCUCGAACCCGAGACCUACCGCUCAUGGGCGAAAGCACUUGCCAUCGCACCAAGUGCGACCUCUACCUUUAACCAUAAAUAAUAGAACAAUUUUCUUGUCUAAUUUUGCUGUUCCCUUCCACUUCAAGUGACUUUUCUAAUGAUGCAAUUUGAUGUUAUGAUCAGGUUAUGGCUCGUUCUUCACCAAUGGAUAAGCAUACCCUUGUAAGACACUUAAGGACCACUUUUCAAGAAGUUGUUGCUGUGACUGGUGAUGGUACAAACGAUGCUCCAGCACUUCAUGAAGCUGAUAUAGGACUUGCAAUGGGCACUGCUGGUACUGAGGUAUUUACAAAGAUGUUGCUUCUUUUUGUGUCUUAAUAAAAGCCUCCUCUCGCUCUCUCAAAUCGUAGAGUCGCACAUGUCGACAGUUGAUUUUCCUGUUUUAUAAAUAUAAUAUGCUAAAAGAAGCAACGUUUUUACUUCUUAGGUAGUUGUUUCUAGAGAAAAGUUCAAUCACCAUUUUCUCUCUCAUGUCAUGCCUGUAAACCUAUUUUGUUGCAUUACAAACAUUCAGUUCCGGUAGAAUUUGAUUGGAAACUACAGUUGUACAAUUAGAGUUGCAUGAUCUUAUUACUAAAUUGAGAUAUCAGAAGAAUGCACAAGGGUUGCAAAGUGGUGGUGGUAAGACUAAAUUUUAUGAGGUUACAUAUGGAUAAUACAAGAAAUAAGUGAAUGCUUUGCCCAAGGACGUCUCAUUUACUCUCUUCUUCUUGUUCGUGAAUCCCCUGAUCCUUUAUUUUUAGGUGAGCUUGAUCGUUUUUGAUAUUAAGGUAAUUAAGAAUGUGCUAAUUAUAUCAGGUGGCAAAGAAAAGUGCUGACGUGAUAAUUCUGGAUGAUAACUUUUCUACAAUUGUGACUGUGGCCAAAUGGGGACGUUCAGUGUACUUAAACAUCCAGAAAUUUGUUCAGUUCCAGUUAACGGUUAAUGUGGUUGCGCUUAUUGUCAGCUUCUCUUCCGCCUGUUUAACUGGUAAGCAGACUGCGAUGCAUUUUCUCUCUUGUUUAAGUUUCUUGUUUUUGUUUCUCAUGAAAAUAUUUUAUUGGCUAACUUUUUGUUUUGGGUUGAUAACGCUCCUAGGAAAUACUCCCCUUACUGCUGUUCAGCUUCUCUGGGUCAACAUGAUCAUGGACACUCUAGGAGCCCUUGCAUUCGCCACCGAGCCACCUAAUGACGAUUUAAUGAAGAGAGCACCGGUUGGCAGGAAAGGAAACUUCAUCACUAAUGUGAUGUGGAGAAAUAUCCUAGGGCAGUCUCUGUAUCAGUUUGUGAUAAUAUGGUUUCUACAGACCAGAGGAAAAGAAGCUUUUCAGCUCAUUGGCCCAGACUCGGAUUUGAUCUUGACCACCCUUAUCUUCAACUCAUUUGUGUUUUGUCAGGUAAUUAUGAAUCAUCGAGGGAUGUGAUUUAAUCGUAUUGCGUUUGUUAAUGAAUGGAGUAUUGGAAAAAGUAAAAUUCAAAUUCAGGAAAUGACUACUCAUCCAGAUACAUUCAUUUGAAUGCUACCGUCUUCUUUCAGGUUUUCAAUGAGAUCAGCUCGAGGGAAAUGGAGAAGGUUAACGUCUUCAAGGGCAUAAUGCAGAACUAUGUUUUCGUGACUGUCCUCUCUGCCACUGUUAUCUUUCAGAUCAUAAUCAUCGAGUUCUUGGGUACAUUUGCGAACACACAUCCUCUAAGUUGGAAACAAUGGUUUGCCAGCGUUGCACUUGGGUUCCUUGGCAUGCCGGUUUCAGCAGUUCUGAAAUUCAUCCCUGUGUAACAAGUAGACUGAAAUCAACCGGAACUUGAACAGGUACUUCUCCACUUGCCUACCGAUGGAUGUUUUGUUAUGGCAUCAUUUCCAAGAUCAUUCUUUUGAUCCUUCUCUUGUAAUUGCUCGUUUUAUUGUCGAUAAUUAAACCACUGAUUGAUGCAUGCUGCAUAAGAGACUGCUUGUACUAUAGUUGGCCAUGGCAAUUUCCAGGCAUAUACCGGAAAUUUUGCCGUAAAAUUUACCAUGGCAUGCUGACUUCAUCUCUUUCGUCGAGAAAACAAACUACAUGAUAUGCCAUGCAAUCUUCUCGUAUCUUCGCUUUCACCCGAACAUCAGUCAAAGUUAUGAAUGGAGAUGUCACGUGAUGAGGGAGAUACUAACGUAAGAAUUUACGUCAAUUACACUCUUUAAGCCAAUUUCAGUUUUACCUAAUUUGGUCACAUGUGAUAUUUACUAUUACCGACCGAAGUAAUUCCACUCCGCUAUCGAAAUUUCUUUAGCAGAACAGAAUCACACUUCUCUGAUGUAAUGCAACUCAAAGAAUUCUCUACAACAUCCAUCCACGGGGCUCGAAUCAAACGGAAUCAGCGAUCAAUUGGUUUUUACGGACUUCUCUGCAGGAACUGAAGAACUAACUGCAACAUUUACCAGGAUCGAUCGGUCCUUCAAACUCUUUAGCUCCUUCUCCUGCAUCCGAUUGUAGCAUAAAAACACAGCUUCCUGCAACACAAAGGCCAAUGAGUCCAAGAUUAAUCAAAAUCCAGUCUUUAAUCUACUUGAUUAAUCAACUAAUGAGAUCAAUUAAGAAAACUCACAAUUUCCAGAAAAUUCAAGUCAGGAACCGAUUUUAUCAUGACUUCGACUGCCUCCUUUGUUAACUUCUGAUCCACUGCCAUUAAGGUGGCGGCUGUUGCUACGGCGGACGGUCGAUGAUGCAUUAAGUUAAUCUCUGUAAAACAUUAAGAUUAGAGUUAAUUAAUAAAUUAUAAUUAACCAUCUAAAUCAACCAACAACAAAAAAAAAGAAAAAAUAUUAAGUGAUUGAUCAAACAUAAAACAUUGUUCGUGAAAAUUAACAGAAAUACCUGUCAUUCCAGAAAGGAGGUGUCCUUCAAUCCGAGAUUUCACAUCUGAUGCAGGUCCCUGGCAUAACUUGGAGAUCAAGUAACCGAGAAACGCAAAGGGUGUGAUCAAACUCAGCCUCCAAUCUAAGUGUUCGAGAAACGCCAACUCCGUCGUCCCGACGAAAUGACAUGGAAAUGAGUAAUCUCCGACCGCGUAUUGUGACAGUGGUGGAAGUUUCACGUCCAACUCCUCCAUCUUUGCCUCCAACGACAGGCACACCACCGAAAGCAACCUCUUUGCAGAUUUUGGCUCUUCUUUCUGCAGAAAAGAAGAAGAAAAAACCAUAAAAAUAUAAUCUUUAAAACCUACAGGGUCGGAACUCAGCGAAUAGAAUCGAUCGAAAUAUGUAAUGGCCAGAUAUGCUGUCAAGGGCUGAAACCCAAGUUCUGCACUUCUCUGAAUUUCAAGAACACCCGAUUAAGUUCCCAAUUGAAACUUCACAAAUGUUGGUUCAAAUGAUCGAAAUUUCGAAAACAAGAAAUGGGGUUUUGGAGUUCGGAGACUGACCUUGAGAACCCAACGAGCUUCCAAAACCCAGCUGGGAAUGAUCACAUUUUCAUCUUUCUUGAAGUCGAAUUUGAUCUCUCUGUUGAUUAAGUUCUUCAGUUGCUCUUGUUCCAGUGCACUAUCGGAGCAGUAGUUCGUGCUGAUCAAUGCGUUUUCAUCUGCCAUCUCUCCGUCCAAAAAUGUCAGACUUUCGUGGCAAGAAACGUCGGGCGAGAAAGGAUCGUAGUUAUCACAACCGUCGACCUCCGUUGUUUCUUUCUUGGCAAGAAAGGUCCAGAAAAUGUUGUAGAAAAAAAGGAAUCAAAUAGUAUGAACUCAGUGAGCCAACCUAGUACUGAAGCCAAAGAUUUGAGAGAGAAAAUGGUUGACCAGCAAAGACUGAAUACGACUGUAUAUAUUUAUAGUGAAAGUGGAUGCAGAGAUGUGACACCGUUUUAACAGAAUUUUCACCAUUCCUACACCAUUUCAAUUCUCAUAUUUUCUUUCCUCUUUAAAAAAUCUAUCCUUCAAUUUUUUCAAUAAUUUUCAAAUGGCCUUGUCUGCAAUAAAAUGUAGGGCUUGAACCUGAAAAGAAGAUGAAGCUCUUUGCAAGGCUUAUAGAUGAAUGUUGGAAGAUAGUGGGAGGGGGAAUUGUCAAACAAAUGACGGUGUUUGGACUCGUGUGUCCAAAAAGUACUUGGAGUUCUAUGAAGGCACCACUCCAGUAAAUAUUCGAAACCACGAGAGUUGUUCUUCAAGAUGGAAUAAACAUCUUCAGCCAAGUUUGAACAAAUGGCAUCAAGUAUUGUUAGCAGCCGCCCGCAAGUAGACAUGAAAGCGGCGCUAAUUACUACGAUGAAGUAAGUGUUUUCACAAUUUAUUUUAAAUAUUUAAUUAUAUUACAUUUAAUUUCAUAAAUUAAUUUUCUUUAAUUUUUUUCUCGGUACACCAAACGAAGGAAUUAUAUAUGGAGAGUAGCUCGAAACCCUUUCAAAUUCACAGUUGUUAGGAAAUUUGUAAAGGGUGGGUGUUAUUUGAAGAUCCACCACAUAGAGCUUCUACGCCGAUGUUCGGAAUAGCAUCCUCAGCUGCAUAUAUGGAUCAAGAUGGAUCUCUAACCAUUCAACAAACAAGGGUAGAAAAUCCGUCUUUGGAUGAAGGUUACAUACCUAGGGCUAUGAGACGAAACAAGGCGUGAAGGUUGAAGGAAAAGGGCAAGGCAAAUGAUGAUUAUGCCGCUCAACAUGAAGUGGCGGCCUCAUUGCGAUUAAUGGCAAAGCAAAAUGCCCUUGAGGCGGAAGAAAGGAAAAGUAGGCAUGAAGAACCGGGUCAAACAAGUACAAGAAGAGAUAGAUGAUAAGAAUAUGGAAAGGAACAUUUCGAAUUACACUCCAAUGAGUAAGGCCUAUUUUGAUAGGAAAAAAAAUGAAAUUAUGACCCGGCGGCAGUUGUUUACCUCUGACUAUACUCCUACAAUGGCGGAUGAUGAAGAUGAUGUUGAUUAUGGAUAUUAAAUUUACGUUGUUGUAGUUUUUAAAUUCAAGUUAAUGUUGUUUUUAAAUUUAAUUUGUAGUUUUUAAAUUUAAGUUGUAGUUUUUAAAUAUAAGUUGUAGUUUUUAAAUUUAAGUUGUUGGAUUUGAAUUUAAGUUGUUGUAGUUUUUAAAUUUAAAUAAUAAAUUAUGUUUGUCCCUUUGGCCCUUGGUUGGAAAUGAAGACAAAUAUGGUCUUAUACUGUUCAUUAAAAUAUUAAUAUCUUGGAGGGCCAGAUGGUUAAAACGAGCCAUCUGGCUAGCCCUCGGUUGGAGAUGGCCUAAGACAAGUUAAGUAUCUUUGGAAAUAGCAAAAACCUCAUUUGACAUGGCGUCAAUUUUGACAUCAUCUUGUUCAUGUUAGUUUAGUAUUCUUUUUCAUAUCAGCUUUGACAUUUCGAUUUUGAAGAUGGUUUAAUGAUAUAAAACUUAAAUAAUCUACUAACGGUAUCAAUUUGACGAUUAUUUAAUUUACACAAUAAAAAUACGUUGUAUAUUAAAUUUUUGGAAUUUCCCAAAUUGAUCGCUCUCUCCGUUUCCUAAACGCGGUGACUCUGACACCACGCGGCAAAGACAUUUUAAUUUAAUAUUUUUACCCACUGUUAGGAGCAAUGAAGGUUCACAAUCUUAUCAAAGAUGUAAAGCACCAGAUUAGUACCUCAGUCCAGACGUUAGUUAAGAAAUUGUUGAGUCAGCAUAAUCAGUUAACUUCAGUUAAAUACUCAAUGCACACCGUAUCUCAAUGUACGAAAAUAUAAUUACGCAAUUCUCUCUCUCCAUUUUCCUCUCUCUCUCUCUCCAAAACUCUAAUUCCUUACUCACAGAGAUUCUACUUUCUACAUGGGAUCAUCGCCGGAGUCCACUGACGCUGAUCUCCCGCUUCUGCAUUCUUGAUUUUCUUGCACUUUCUCUCUUGCCAAGCAGGUCUUGUCCUACUUUUCUCUUCAAUUCUCUGUGAGAUUCCGCUAUGGCUGCAGCGAGAACUUUUAUGUGAAGGCGAAGAACUCGUCUCUGUGUAUAAGGCUAGGGUUUCUGGUUUGCUGUGAAGCUGAGAAGCUGAGAUGGAGAGCUAUUUGAACGAGAACUUUUAUGUGAAGGCGAAGAACUCGUCGGAGGAGGCGUUUCAGAUAUGGAGGAAGCCGUGUGGACUUGUCAAGAAUCGGAAACGGAGGUUCAGAUUCACUGCUAACCUCCCCAAGCGUUUUGAAGCUGAGGCCAUUCGACGAACCAAUCAGGUAUAAAUCGGUUACUCUUUUGGUUUCUCUCUCUUUUUUUGUUCUGUUUGGCUCCUGAGAAAAUUUUUGGAAUUAUUUAGUUCUUUUUGUUGAUAAGUUGAGUGUGACCCCAAUGCUACAAUUAAUCUGGAUUUCUAAUUGAUUAAUGUUCUUUUUCUGCGUGCUGAUAGAUUUACAUUUCAGUUGGAUUUCUAAUUGAUUAGUGUUCGUUAAUCUGGAUUUCUAAUUGAUUAGUGUUCGUUAAUCUGGAUUUCUAAUUUAUUAGCGUUCGUUUUCUAACAAAAUCAAAGAUUUGUAUAUAGAAAGUUGGGAAGAUCAUCUCUCAAUCGAAAUUCGAUGAUAGCCUAGCUAAGAAGGGAAAAAGUAGACUCGCUGUUGUUCGUAAUUUGGGGUUGUGUGUUUCUGUUGCAUGCUGAAUUAUCAGUGCUGUUCCCAGAUCCAUUUCAUCUUGCUGAAUGUCAAAACGAAAACCUUGACCAAGUACAUAUUGUACUAGAUUUGGUUGAUGGUAUAUCAACUGUUAUAUUCUGAUAAUCUGUAAGAGGACUUAAAAAUUGAUGCAUUGCACGGUAAAAAUUUUAAGCAAACUCACAGCUUUAAAUGACCUUAUGCUACAUAAAUGAGGAUAAGUUCAAUUCUGCAGUGAACCAUAGUUUCUGUUUGAUAGACUAUGAAAUUAAGGUAUACCGUCUACCAUAAAAAGAAAUUGAGCAGAUAUAUUUAUACUUAAUAGGGGUAGUAACUGGUAAAAAAUAUAUUCAUGUGCAUACUUCAUGUAGAAAAUAUAUCUUUUGCUGUCUUAUAAAAGAAAACUUUAUUUCUUAGUGUGUUGUCCUUUGUUCUUCGGUUGAAAUAACAGGGUAAGUUUAGAGUUGCAGAUUUGGUUUCACAAACGCUUCAGUUUAUCCAAGGUUAGAAUCUUAACCUACUCAGUUCCAUGUUGUUUAUACAGACGAUAUUUAUUAUAUUUUACAAACAAUGGUUCUAUUUGUUUUAUAUGUUUAUUUGGUUUUCAAUCUUCAGCGUGUGCAGGCUUAAGUGUGCACAGUGAUUAUACAGUACCUGAGGAAGUCAAAGCUGCGGGUUUUCAAAUUUGUGCUGAUGAGGUGCAAUGGAUUGUUGAAGGCCGUGAUGUGCAAUACUUGAAAAGUCAUGGUGGUGUGGAGACUAUCAUAGACAAGCUUGGAACAUCCAGUAUCAAUGGAAUUUCUACUUCUGAGAAAUUGCUUAAUAAGAGAAAAGAAAUAUAUGGGGUUAAUAAAUUCGUUGAAAAACCAUGCAGUGGAUUUCUUGUUUAUGUGUGGGAAGCCCUUCAGGACACUACCCUCAUGAUACUUGCAUUUUGUGCCUUUGUAUCUCUGCUGGUUGGGAUAAUGACAGAAGGUUGGCCAAAGGGUGCCCAUGAUGGACUUGGAAUUGUUGCUAGCAUUUUGCUUGUUGUAUUUGUCACUGCAACUAGUGAUUAUAAACAAUCCCUGCAGUUCAAGGAUUUGGAGAAGGAGAAGAAAAAAAUUACAGUUCAGGUUACUAGAGAUGGAUUCAGACAGAAGUUGUCCAUUUACGAUCUACUUCCUGGUGACAUUGUUCAUCUUUCUAUUGGAGAUGUGGUCCCAGCUGAUGGACUUUUUGUUUCGGAGUUUCCUGUGCUGAUAAAUGAAUCCAGUUUAACAGGAGAGAGUGAACCAGUUAAGGUCAACUCUACGAAUCCUUUUCUCCUCUGUGGAACUAAAGUUCAGGAUGGAUCAUGCAAGAUGCUUGUAACUACUGUUGGAAUGAGAACCCAGUGGGGUAAACUGAUGGUUACUCUUAGUGAAGGGGGAGAUGAUGAAACCCCCUUGCAGGUCAAACUAAAUGGUGUGGCAACCAUCAUUGGGAAAAUAGGCCUGUUUUUUGCUGUUGUGACAUUUUCUGUAUUGGUUCAAGGAUUGUUCAGCCGCAAUCUUCAACAAGGAUCCCACUUGAUCUGGUCUGGAGAUGAAGCAUUGGAAAUCUUGGAAUAUUUUUCUAUAGCUGUUACAAUUGUUGUUGUUGCUGUUCCAGAGGGUUUGCCUUUGGCUGUGACAUUGAGUCUUGCUUUUGCCAUGAAGAAGAUGAUGAACGAUAAGGCACUAGUCAGGCAUCUGGCUGCUUGUGAGACAUGGGAUCAGCCACAACUAUCUGCAGUGACAAGACCGGGACACUAACGACGAGCCACAUGACUGUUGUGAAAGCUUGCAUUUAUGGUAAAAUCAGAGAUGUGGGAACCUCCGAGGAAGCUACUAACUUUGCUUCUAUAGUUCCUGAAUCUGGUUGGAGGCUUGCGCUGCAAUCUUUUUUGAGCAUCUUUUGUGGUAAAAUCAGAGAUGUGGGAACCUCCGAGGAAUUUCCUGAAUCUGGUUUGAGGCUUAUGCUGCAAUCUAUUUUUAACAACACUGGAGGAGAAGUUGUUAAAAACAAAGAUGGCAAGACCGAGUUACUUGGAACACCCACUGAGACUGCUAUUUUGGAAUUUGGGAUGUUGCUAGGCGGUGAUUUCAAGGCAGAAAGGGAGGCAACAAAAGUUGUUAAAGUUGAGCCCUUCAAUUCUCAUGAAAAGCGAAUGGGUGUUGUUGUAGAGCUUCCUAAAGGUGGCUUCCGGGUGCACACUAAAGGUGCUUCUGAGAUAAUAUUAGCUGCAUGCGACAAAAUCAUGUGUCCAGAUGGCAAGGUUGUUCCCCUCGAUAAAGCAUCCAUUAAUUUUUUGAAUGGCAUCAUUGAACGUUUUGCUAGUGAAGCCCUUAGAACUCUCUGCCUUGCAUACAUGGAGGUCGGCAAAUUCUCAGCUGAAAGUCCUAUUCCCACCUCAGGGUACACAUUUAUAGGCAUUGUGGGUAUCAAAGAUCCAGUUCGUCCUGGUGUCAAGGAGUCUGUUGCAAUUUGUAGGUCUGCUGGUAUUACAGUCAGAAUGAUUACUGGAGACGACAUAAACACUGCAAAAGCAAUUGCAAGAGAGUGUGGAAUUUUGACCGAUGGAGGUUUGGCAAUUGAAGGCCCAGUGUUUCGUGAGAAGAGUGAGGAGGAAUUACAAAAAAUUAUUCCAAACCUUCAGGUACAGUUUCUUAUUUUCUGAAAAGACACUAGUCAGAAACAUGUUAUCAAAAUUUCACAAUCCCGCCAGUGAGCUGUCUCAGAAACAUUUAAUUAAAUGUAUUUUACUUAACAAAUCCCUAGACUAGUAGACUGUUAAACCUAUUGAAAUUCCUUAUUCCCCCGUUACCAUUAUUGCACAGCUAAUUAUGGUAGACAUACUAACAGUGACAAUAGCUCUAACCAUAUCAACGAUAAAUAAAUUAUUUCUUCACUUACGGGUGACGUGCACCUUUAACCAUAAAUAAUAGAACAAUUUUCUUGUCUAAUUUUGCUGUUCCCUUCCACUUCAAGUGACUUUUCUAAUGAUGCAAUUUGAUGCUAUGAUCAGGUUAUGGCUCGUUCUUCACCAAUGGAUAAGCAUACCCUUGUAAGACACUUAAGGACCACUUUUCAAGAAGUUGUUGCUGUGACUGGUGAUGGUACAAACGAUGCUCCAGCACUUCAUGAAGCUGAUAUAGGACUUGCAAUGGGCACUGCUGGUACUGAGGUAUUUACAAAGAUGUUGCUUCUUUUUGUGUCUUAAUAAAAGCCUCCUCUCGCUCUCUCAAAUCGUAGAGUCGCACAUGUCGACAGUUGAUUUUCCUGUUUUAUAAAUAUAAUAUGCUAAAAGAAGCAACGUUUUUACUUCUUAGGUAGUUGUUUCUAGAGAAAAGUUCAAUCACUAUUUUCUCUCUCAUGCCUGUAAACCUAUUUUGUUGCGUUACAAACAUUCAAUUCCGGUAGAAUUUGAUUGGAAACUACAGUUGUACAAUUAGAGUUGCAUGAUCUUAUUACUAAAUUGAGAUAUCAGAAGAAUGCACAAGGGUUGCAAAGUGGUGGUGGUAAGAUUAAAUUUUAUGAGGUUACAUAUGGAUAAUACAAGAAAUAAGUGAAUCCUUUGCCCAAGGACGUCUCAUUUACUCUCUUCUUCUUGUUCGUGAAUCCCCUGAUCCUUUAUUUUUAGGUGAGCUUGAUCGUUUUUGAUAUUAAGGUAAUUAAGAAUGUGCUAAUUAUAUCAGGUGGCAAAGAAAAGUGCUGACGUGAUAAUUCUGGAUGAUAACUUUUCUACAAUUGUGACUGUGGCCAAAUGGGGACGUUCAGUGUACUUGAACAUCCAGAAAUUUGUUCAGUUCCAGUUAACAGUUAAUGUGGUUGCGCUUAUUGUCAGCUUCUCUUCCGCCUGUUUAACUGGUAAGCAGACUGCGAUGCAUUUUCUCUCUUGUUUAAGUUUCUCAUGAAAAUAUUUUAUUGGCUAACUUUUUGUUUUGGGUUGAUAACGCUCAUAGGAAAUACUCCCCUUACUGCUGUUCAGCUUCUCUGGGUCAACAUGAUCAUGGACACUCUAGGAGCCCUUGCAUUCGCCACCGAGCCACCUAAUGACGAUUUAAUGAAGAGAGCACCGGUUGGCAGGAAAGGAAACUUCAUCACUAAUGUGAUGUGGAGAAAUAUCCUAGGGCAGUCUCUGUAUCAGUUCGUGAUAAUAUGGUUUCUACAGACCAGAGGAAAAGAAGCUUUUCAGCUCGUUGGCCCAGACUCGGAUUUGAUCUUGACCACCCUUAUCUUCAACUCAUUUGUGUUUUGUCAGGUAAUUAUGAAUCAUCGAGGGAUGUGAUUUAAUCGUAUUGCGUUUGUUAAUGAAUGGAGUAUUGGAAAAAGUAAAAUUCAAAUUCAGGAAAUGACAACUCAUCCACAUACAUUCAUUUGAAUGCUACCGUCUUCUUUCAGGUUUUCAAUGAGAUCAGCUCGAGGGAAAUGGAGAAGGUUAACGUCUUCAAAGGCAUAAUGCAGAACUACGUUUUCAUGACUGUCCUCUCUGCCACUGUUAUCUUUCAAAUCAUAAUCAUCGAGUUCUUGGGUACAUUUGCGAGCACACAUCCUCUAAGUUGGAAGCAAUGGUUUGCCAGCGUUGCACUUGGGUUCCUUGGCAUGCCGGUUUCAGCAGUUCUGAAAUUCAUCCCUGUGUAACAAGUAGACUGAAAUCAACCGGAACUUGAACAGGUACUUCUCCACUUGCCUACCGAUGGAUGUUUUGUUAUGGCAUCAUUUCAAAUAUCAUUCUUUUGACUCCGUAAACUCUGAAAAGCUCACAAAUUCAAGGCUAAAUGAUAAACUCUCCCGCUUACAAAAUGAUAGUUUUGGUAAACAUGAAUGCGUAGGACGUAUUCUACCUGUUCGAACGUCUAACCAGUUGUACUUUUACAAGGAUUUAGUUUAUGCUAACAGGUUUACUGUUUUGCUUAAUCGUGCUGUUCUUUCCUUAAUGUUGAUCCUUCUCUUGUAAUUGUUCGUGUUAUUGUCGAUAAUUAAACCACCGAUUGAUGCAUGCUGCAUAAGAGACUGCUUGUACUAUAGUAGGCCAUGGCAAUUUCCGGGCAUAUACCAUGUCAUGCGACUCCCAUCUCUUUCGUCGAGAAAACAAAUUAAAUGAUAUGCCAUGCAAUCUUCUCGUAUCUUCGCUUUCACCCAAACAUCAGUCAAAGUUAUGAAUGGAGGUGUCACGUGAUAAGAGAGAUAUUAAUGUAAGAAUUUACUCCAAUUACUCUUUAAGCCAAUUAUGUCACGUGAUAAGAGAGAUAUUAAUGUAAGAAUUUACUCCAAUUACUCUUUAAGCCAAUUACAGUUUUACCUAAUUUGGUCACAUGUGAUAUUUACUAUUACCGAAGUAAUUCCACUCUGCUAUCGAAAUUUCUUUAGCAGAACAGAAUCACACUUCUCUGAUGUAAUGCAACUCAAAGAAUUCUCUACAACAUCCAUUCACGGGGCUCGAAUCAAACGGAAUCAGCGAUCAAUCGGUUUUUACAGGCUUCUCUGCUGGAACUGAAGAUCUAACUGCAACAUUUAUCGGGAUCGAUCGGUCCUUCAGACUCUUUAGCUCCUUCUCCUGCAUCCGAUUGUAACAUAAAAACACAGCUUCCUGCAACACAAGGGCCAAUGAGUCCAAGAUUAAUCAAAAUCCAGUCUUUAAUCUAAUUGAUUAAUCAACAAAUGAGAUCAAUUAAGAAAACUCACAAUUUCCAGAAAUUUCAAGUCAGGAACCGAUUUUAUCAUGACUUCCACUGCUUCCUUUAUAAUUUCUGAUCCGCUGCCAUUAAGGUGGCGGCUGCUGCUACGGCGGACGGUCGAUGAUGCAUUAAGUUAAUCUCUGUAAAACAUUAAGAUUAGAGUUAAUUAAUAAAUUAUAAUUAACCAUCGAAAUUUCGAAAACAAGAAAUGGGGUUUUGGAGUUCGGGGACUAACCUUGAGAACCCAUGUGAUGGAUUCAGAUCGAGCUUCCAAAAGCCAGCUGGGAAUGAUCACACUUUCAUCUUUCUUGAAGCCGAAUUCGAUCUCUCUGUUGAUUAAGUUCUUCAGUUGCUCUUGUUCCAGUGCACUAUCGGAGCAGUAGUUCAUGCUGAUCAAUGCGUUUUCAUCAGCCAUCUCUCCGUCCAAAAAUGUCAGACGUUCGUGGCAACAAACGUCUGGCGAGAAGGGAUCGUAGUUAUCACCUCCGUUGUUUCUUUCUUGGCAAGAAAGGUGCAGAAAAUGUAGUAGAAAAAAGGAAUCAAAUAGUAUGAACUCAGUGAGCCAACCCAGUACUGAACCCAAAGAUUUGGAGAGAGAAAAUGGUUGACCAGCAAAGACUGAAUACGACUGAUUAUAUUUAUAGUGAAAGUGGAUGCAGAGAUGUGACACAGUUUUGACGGUUGCAGGUUUAGCAGAGUAGUCUGUUCACUCAUCUGUUCCUGCUUUGUGAGUACCACAAGCUUGAACGCUAGGUUGGGCAUACGUUCGUGUGCGAUUGAUCCUAGCAUCUCUCAUACUUAUAUGCUGCAUCGUUUUUCCGAGAGCAUAUUUUGCUUCUACAUCUCAAAUUAACCGUCAAAUUCUCCGGCUUCAAGUUUUCAACAUUCACUGAAAAUGCCCAUAUAAUAAGAGCAACUCCAAUCGUUCUAGGAGAGCAAGGGCAAGGCAAGGUGAUGGCAAGCCAAUGAAAUUGCUCUUAUAAUAGUAAUUGGCUUGGUGCAGAUCCAUCGGUUUGAGAAGAGAAAGGGCAAGGGAAUGGCGAUUAAUAUUCACAAAUAUUUCUUUUUAAUGUUUUAUGCCUUGUAAGUGUGUAACUAGCAAAUUUGUUCUUAGAAAAUAAAACUUCAUAUUUAACCCCGAUAAUUUAAUUUUAAAUACAAAGCAAAACAUAGUAUUACAACAAGCAUAAUUAAAAAUAAAAGGCAAAUGAAGAAGAUGGUUGAACUUUAUAAGGUUGUGGAGUGUUUUUAAUUUUAAGUGUAUUGUUAAAAAGCAUUUGUGCUUAUUUAGAAUUUUUUGGUGGUUUUUUAGCUUUUUUUAUCUUCAAAUUAAUUCAGACAGUUGAUUUACUAAAUUUUGUUUAAAUCAGAUGCACCAGAUUGUGCCACGUUGGACAACCUUAAUUUUUUUUUUUUUAAUGUUGGAAAUCCAACAGUCUGCAAAGACAAGGCAACGAUCUCCAAGGGACUAGAUUUUGCAUAUGGGUGGGCCCAGUACUGCAAUGGCACAAGCCAAGGCAAUUCUUGCAAGGGCAGUUGAAAGGGUAUAAGCCCUUGGCCUAAUUGCCCUCCGUUUUUUGAACCGGUGGACCAAUUUUUUUGGGGCUAAGGACAAUUCAACCCAAUUGCCCUAUCCAUUAGACCAUGAGUGGAAAUGCUCUAAUGGUGUUUCCGAAUUUCGGUCUACAUGGCAUUUACACAACUCUUUUUCUCUUUACAAACUUGAAAUGUGUGUAUUAAUUUCUACUAGGUGUGUCUGAAUUUCCCUUCAAUGAUGAUUGCCUUGUACAAAAUACUCACAGACAUUGCAUAAUAUGAAAACAAAUAAUAUUCUGGUACAAAUUCUAGGGCAAAAAGCUUUGCUCUUUUAUUACUUUCUGUAAAUUUUCUUCAGGAAGCUGUUUCUCAUCACCUCCAAAUCAUGACAUUGUGAACAAGUAAGAACUAUGCACUCUCUUUAAACCAGUUACAAUUUUACUGAUGUAAUCUAAUCUAACUGAAAAAUUCUCUACAAGUUCCAUCCGCUGGGCUCGAAUCAAACAGCAUCAGCGAUCAAUCGAUUUUUACCGGACACGGGUUCUUUAGGUUUCUCCGUCCUUAGCUCCUGCAGUAUAUAUUGUAGCAUGAAAACACAGCUUCCUGUGACGCAAAAGGCCAAUAAGUCCAAUACUUCAUAUGAAACAUCAAUUAAGUAAUGAGAAAACAGCUAAAUGAACUCACAAUUUCCGAAAGUUUCAGUUCUGGUAUGGAGUUUAUCUUUAGUUCCAAUGCUUCUUUUGUUAAUUUCUGAUCCAAUGCCAUCAAGGUGGCGGCGGCUGCUACAGCUGACGGUCGUUGAUGCAUCAAAUUAAUCUCUACAUUAACAUUAAAAACAUGAAUUAACUAACCAUCUAAAUCAACUCACAAUUAAUUAAGUGAUCAAAUAGGUACAGAAGUACCUGUGAUCACAGAAAGGAGGAGGUCUUCAAAUCUUUAAUUUUACAUCAGAUGGAGAUUCUUGGCACAAACUUGGAGAUGAAGUAAUCGACAAACGAGAAGGGUGUGAUGAUAUUCAUGUUCCAUUCCAGUGCUCCCAACACCAUAAGCUCCAUUUUCUGAAUCAGUUUUCCUUCGAAAAAGUGAGGAUUUUCGACUUCAUAUUGCGACAGUGAUGGAAUGUUUCUGCUCCUUCAUCUUUGCAGCCAGAGAUAGACACGCCACAGAAAGCAAUCUAACCAUAGCAACCUGCAAAAACAUGAACUGAUUCUCGUUACACAAUCGCCAUAAACACCGAAUGGAAUACAGUUUUACAUUACACAUUGGCAUUAUCGUUUAGACAUAGCCCGAAAAGGCGAACAACAAAAUCUUACAGGGAUUUGUCUCAGGGAAAUGAACCGAUCAAAGUAUGUCAUGCACAAAUAUGCUGUUCUCUAGGAUGAAAUCCAAGACCCGUUCUUCUCUGAAAUCCCAAGAAAAACACCAAUAACAGAACACAAUCAAUUUCGAUUCAAAACAACUUUUUGUUAUCGAAACUUGGAAAACAAGAAACUGGGUUUUUGAGAUUAGAGACUGACCUGGAGAACCCAUGUGAUGGAUUCCAAUCGAGCGUCCAAAACCCAGGUGGGAAUCACCAAAUCUUCGUCUUUCCCGAACCCAAAUUCGAUCUCUCUGUGGAUUAAGUUCUGCAACUGCUGUUCUUCCAAUGCAAACGCCAUCGUAAUUAGUUGUUGAGUUUGAGGAAUGCCUUGUCUUCUACAAAAUCUCCGUUGAAGAGAAAGCUGUGGCUUUCUCGGCAAGAAAGGUCCGGCGAUACAGGAUCACUAUUUUGGUUUUCUUUUUCUUUCUAUCUGUUUAUUGCAUUCCGCGCAGAAAAAAUCUAGUAGGAACAGAGUCGGAUAAUACAAUCCCAGGACUGAAUAAUCCGAGAUUUGGAGAGAGAAAGAAUGGUUGACCAGCAAGACUGAUAAGGACCGGAGAGGUUGAAAUGGAGACGAAAUAGGGUUACAGUUUAGCAAGAAUGUGACACCGGUUUAACGGUUACGGUUUCAACAGAAUCGGGAAACGGGGUGUGUGAAACAGUUUAGCAAGUACCGGUUUAGGAAAGUAAUUUUCACACACAUUUUUUAGCCUCUUAUACAGCCUAUUUAGGGCUGGUUUAGUAUUACUGUACUUUGAAAAAAAACUGUUAUGAGAAUAAGCGGCUAUGCUGUGAAAAUAAGCGGCUAUAAAAUAAAUCAGCAGAAUGUUUGGUAAACUUUUUUGUAAAAGUGCUUUUUGGAAAAAAAAAAAAAAAAAAACAGUCUGAUAGUGGGUCUUUUUCAUUAAAGGAGCAUUGUAGCUCCGUGUGCUUUUGAAAAAAGCAAAGUUUUCCAAAGCUGCAAAUAGCAGCUUCAACUUUUUCCUUUGAUUUCAGCUUAUUCUCACAGCAGCUUCCAAAAUAAACCCUUUUUUUUAAGCACCUCACUCCCAAACCACCCCUUAAUCAUGACCAUUGAUUAUGUUUUUAUUUAUUUAAUUUGAUGGCCAAAAAUAAAAAGGGUGUGUGAGACGGAUUUUUUCAAGUUACCAGUUGUCAAACGGUACUCCACAUGUCAUAAUACAAGUGGAGGAAAUAAAUUUUUUUUUUGUGUGUCCCUUCCUUAUUUUUAUGUCACGUGGAGUAAUCUGAUUGAAAUACAGAACACUUGAAAAAAAAUUAUCAUGUGAGGCUAAAAAGUAAAAAAUGUGUGUGAGAAUCACUUCCUUUAAAAAUUGUAUUUGCACUUUUAUAGAAUCAACAAACCUGUCAUUGCACAUUUUGAAUGAACAGGUCAUUGAUUUUACAAGAUGAACACGUCGUUCAAGUAGGUUUAAGAAAAUGAAAAAAACUAACGUAAAGUCUUAAAAAAAUUUAGUUUUAAUGAAAAAUAACAAAUAAAUAUGUAAUGAAUAAUACUAGAGAAAGGUAAAAAUGUGUGUUUUUUCGUUAAAAUUGAACAGUACCGGGAGUAUUUCGUUAAAACUCCCUUAAGAAAACGCUUAUGAUCAAAAAGCAAUAUCUAUGUGACGGUAUUUAAAAAGAAAAAUGACACAUUUGAAUGAAACAUAUCGUUGAUUUUACAAGAUAAACUAUAGCUACUAAGAAUGUUACUGUGAUAGUAUUUAAGUUAUUAAUUGCAAAUUCUUAUGCAUUUUGAAUUUUAUAAAUUGGAGUGAGUAUUAAUUUUUGAUAAAAUGUCUUCCCGUCACGCCUUAGUGUCAUAUACCUAUUUUGUAGAAGUCUUCGUAUCUGACACUCAUAAUAUUAUAGUCAUUAUUAUUAGUCAUUGAGGAUCUUCUAAUACGUUUUGAACUUUUGAGUUAUCUUAUCUAAAAUUUUAGCGAUUAUAAUUGCAGAAUAUGGAAUUCUCCGGAGCACAACUUAUUUUCGUAGUCAGGGAGGAGGGUACAUGAAUACGGGUUGUGUUUCCCUAUGUUUUGACUGUCCCAGAUCCCAUUCCAAUUCAAACUUGUCACUUCUGAAACAAAAACCCUGAAGCCACCGGGCAGUGUGCUCACAUGGCAGCCAACUUCAAGCUUCCCAUAUAUGUCCACCACCACUCCCAUUUUUCUGCCAACACACCCUUGACUCUCAAAGGAGGAGUGCUAGGAAAAGGAAUCCUCUCCGGAUUUCUUUCUCCUAAUUGAAUUAGGGAAUCAUACUGUUGAAAUUUGAUCCAACGGCUACAAACAGGGGUCCAUUUAAAAGUAUAUAAACUUCAGUCGUUGGAUCAAAUUUCAACAAAACGAAUCCCUAAUUUAAUGGAAUUAUAAGAAAAAGAUCUGAAGAGGAUCUCUUUCUGAAGGCUAGGGUACCCUUACGGGUAAGCUGUUGGAAAGGGUCUUGGACUUGUAUGAUCAAGUCCCCUCUAACACAUCUGGCCUUUUUAAGUUUUAUUGUUCAAUGACCCUUCUCUUUCUUUAAAUGAACAUGAUAAAAAAACAAAGUAGAAAUGUGACAAGAAAAUGAACAAUAAUCCCUUUUAAGAAAGACGUCCACGCGGCAAGCAACUUGUACGGAAGCAGUGUUUUCAUGAAAAUGUGUGUGAGCGACAGGAAGCUGUGACGUAGGCACGUGUAUAGAUAGACACGUAGCCCAAUUCAUACGUGAGAAGUCUUCCGUCACAUACAUAGAAGAUGUUAUCUACCUAAUCACAAAAUCGUCAUUCGCUUUUUAAGAAAGAGCGUCCAAGUCUCCGGCAAAGAAUUUGAAAGUAUCGCGUAGUCUAUAGCCACGUGUGUUUUUCAUGCACUAGAAUAUGUGUGAGCGACAAGGUGUAGGUACGCAUGUCUACCCUCUUUUGUAUGUCGUAUGAUAUGUGUCAUAGGAUCUAAUUGUUCAUUUAAAGUGUUCGCUGAUGAGGCGUUAUAAUCGGCGAAUUGUAUACUUUUUUACUUCUCAUCUUUAUACAAGAACUUCGAUUCAUUAUCGUGACACGAAGCAACUUGUUGUAUCACACACUAAACAGCACCUGAUUUAUAUGUACUCAAGAACCUCAAAGAUAAUUUAAAAGGAAUUGACUUUUUAUACCUUUUCAUUCUCUUCUUUUUUUAAAGAUGAUCUCAUGCUUCCGAAGUGGAUAGGGUUUCAAGAGGAGGUUCAAUUGGAACAGUCCUCAGGAAGUUUUAGGCGGCCUCCUUCUUCGCAAUUAUAUUCCCACCGAGACUAAAGGGCUUAUAUAUGUUAAAUGCUUCUUUUUAGUCCUUGACAGCCAAAGAGCUUAAAAACAUACAGGAAAAAAUAGUGAGUUGGAAAAGCUAAUCCCAGCUGCAAGGCCCACCUGUUUUUUCUAUUUGUUCUUUCUCUUUUUUAUGUAAACAUGCAAUUUUUGUUUCCAAUUGAUAUUUGAUUUUUUGAAUAUUUAUUUUUUAGUUGUCCCUAGUGUAGCUUAUGAUUGGAUUGGUGAAACUAACAAGAAUGUGAAUAUUGUAUUUUGUAAAUGUUAGGCUAGGAAGGGAAUGAUAAGAUUGAGAAUUCAAAUGUUUUGGUUACACAUUUCUUUGAUGUUCAUCCAUUGUAAGAAUUGUCAUCUUUUUGUUGUUCCUAUACUAUUAACUGGUUUACGUUUGGUGGCAGGACAAGAAUGAACUUAUACUUUGGAUUCGAUAGUUAGAAUGUAAAGAAACUAGCGUGGGAUUGGAAAUUUGUAAACCUGUGUGAACAUUAGUUGCAUAAACGCCACUUUAAUUUCGGAUUUUAUGCCUAUCACUCUCCAAUUUCUCAUCCAAUGCAAACAAAGAUCUUGACGUAAGCUAUAGCUAUUCCUUAUACACAUCGAACCGCCAAAAACCAAAACCACAUCUUUUUCAGUCACGUGUCUCACGUGCUGCAUUUUCUACCCGCCUCCUGGCUGUCUUCCACUCUCGAAAAACUCGCCGCGUUCCAGGCGACUCGCCGACUCCGUACUAUAAAUUUUUCUGAGCAACUCCAGCCCCAUACUCUCUUAUCACAAAGCACACCAAACCCAACGGCUCACAGCCCGCCACGUCAUAAACCAUACGACUCCGCGCACCAGCGUGCCACAUGUUGGCACCGAAUAUUCGAUGCCACAAAAAUGUUCCAGAUUUCAAUUUCCCCCAAAAUUUUGAUUUCUCAAAAGAAAGAGGAAGCCCCUUCUCGCAUUUUUGCCCCAAAUCAGGAAACCCUAAUUCCAUUAAUGGCUGAAUUGGUCUCUGGAUUUUCUGAAUCGCAGUUUUUUCUCGUCUCCGGCCAAUUCGAUUUCGUCGAUCUCGUCAGAUUUUUCUCUCUUGGGCAGCGCUCUCCUCUCUCCACCUUCUUCUUCUCAGAUUUUCAGUCGCCCUUGUAACUUGUUCUGACAGAGAAAAGCGUGCUAGGGAUUCAGAAAGUACAGUAGGGACCCCCCAUACGACUCACAGUUAUGGG
rnacentral:lncRNA from 1 species